GAGGGUGGGGGGGGAGGACGUGGGGAGCUGAGGCGGCUCAGCCCCACUGUUGCCGGGGCCCGUGGCUCCCGCGCUGCUCCCGCACCGCCGAGUCACGAACUCUGCCGGCACUCAGCCUAGGGGAGGGGUUUCUCGGCCCCGGGAGCGGCAGAGCUCGUUUGCAUGCGAGGAGGUGCAGCAGCGGCAGCAGCAGCGUGGUGCCAGCCCUUGGUCACUGAUGAUGUGGAUGUGCUGAGGAGCUGAGGCUCCCUCUGUUCCUGUGCAUGGGAGGUAGAGGGCUGCCUGCCUGCCUGGAGCUCUGCCUCUCUCCUAGCGGCACAAAGCGGCAGCUGCUGGCCAUUUCCUCGCAGCUUCCCUGCUGCACCGGGCAGCCCGGGCUGGGACACGCGGAGGCGACCGGGCGCCUCGCACCGCAGCAGCAGAUACAUUUAGGAUUUGACUCUGAGAGACACUUCAUCACCAAAGUGAGCAUUGGCAGCAAAGACAGUUUUUGGAAACGACAUCCAUUCAUGUGAUUAAAGGUUUUGCCUAGAGGGAUUCUCUAUGUUUUGAUUCUGAUUACCCUGAAAGGUAUUUACCAUCCUGAUUUUACAGAGCAUGACAGAGGUGAUGAACACACGGGAACCUGUUAUGGAAGAAGGCGGCCCUUCUACCCAGUAUUUUAUUAGGCUUUUCCAGAUUCAUGUGAGAAGUACCCCAAGCUGUCAAAACGGUUGCCAUCAAUUGUGGUAGAGCCAACUGAGUCAGGGGAAGUUGAAAGUGGAGAGCUACGCUGGCCACCUGAUGACC